rnacentral:rRNA from 1 species
UGGGGAAUAUUGCACAAUGGACGAAAGUCUGAUGCAGCGACGCCGCGUGAGGGAAGAAGGUAUUCGUAUUGUAAACCUCUGUCUUCGGGGACGAUAAUGACGGUACCCGAGGAGGAAGCACCGGCUAACUACGUGCCAGCAGCCGCGGUAAAACGUAGGGUGCGAGCGUUGUCCGGAAUUACUGGGUGUAAAGGGAGCGCAGGUGGAAAGGUAAGUUGAAUGUGAAAUCUAUGGGCUCAACCCAUAAAUUGCGUUCAAAACUAUUUUUCUUGAGUGGAGUAGAGGUAAGUGGAAUUCCAGGUGUAGCGGUGGAAUGCGUAGAUAUCUGGAGGAACACCAGUGGCGAAGGCGGCUUACUGGGCUCUAACUGACGCUGAGGCUCGAAAGCAUGGGUAGCAAACA